rnacentral:rRNA from 1 species
GACGAACGCUGGCGGCGUGCUUAACACAUGCAAGUCGAACGAAGUGGCGAACGGGUGAGUAAUACGUGAGUAACCUGCCCUCCUUUUUGGGACAAGCCUUGGAAACGGGGUCUAAUACCGAAUAAAGGGGGAUGGGCUCGCGGCCUAUCAGCUUGUUGGGGGGGUGAUGGCCUACCAAGGCGGUGACGGGUAGCCGGCCUGAGAGGGUGACCGGCCCACUUGGGGAUGGGAUACGGCCCAGACGUCUACGGGUAGCAGCAGUAGGGAAUUUUCGGCAAUGGGAGGAAACCUGACCCAGCAACGCCGGGUGAGGGAAGAAGGUUUUCGGAACGUAAAGCUCUGUUGGUAAGGAAGGAGGACUUAACCAGAAAGGGACGGCUAACUACGUGCCAGCAGCCGCGGUAAUUC